rnacentral:rRNA from 1 species
CCGCUGAACUUAAGCAUAUCAAUAAGCGGAGGAAAAGAAACCAACAGGGAUUGCCCUAGUAACGGCGAGUGAAGCGGCAACAGCUCAAAUUUGAAAGCUGGCCUUCGGGUCCGCAUUGUAAUUUGUAGAGGAUGCUUUGGGGCAGCCGCCUGUCUAAGUUCCUUGGAACAGGACGUCAUAGAGGGUGAGAAUCCCGUAUGUGACAGGACAUGGCACCCUAUGUAAAGCUCCUUCGACGAGUCGAGUUGUUUGGGAAUGCAGCUCUAAAUGGGAGGUAAAUUUCUUCUAAAGCUAAAUAUUGGCGAGAGACCGAUAGCGCACAAGUAGAGUGAUCGAAAGAUGAAAAGCACUUUGGAAAGAGAGUUAAAAAGCACGUGAAAUUGUUGAAAGGGAAGCGCUUGCAAUCAGACUUGUUCAAACCGUUCGGCCGGUCUUCUGACCGGUUUACUCGGUUUGGACAGGCCAGCAUCAGUUUCGGCGGCCGGAUAAAGGCUCUGGGAAUGUGGCCUCCACUUCGGUGGAGGUGUUAUAGCCCGGGGUGUAAUACGGCCAGCCGGGACUGAGGUCCGCGCUUCGGCUAGGAUGCUGGCGUAAUGGUUGUAAGCGACCCGUCUUGAAACACGGACC